CCUACGGGAUGCAGCAGUGGGGAAUAUUGCACAAUGGGGGAAACCCUGAUGCAGCGACGCCGCGUGAGUGAAGAAGUAUUUCGGUACGUAAAGCUCUAUCAGCAGGGACGAAAAUGACGGUACCUGACUAAGAAGCCCCGGCUAACUACGUGCCAGCAGCCGCGGUAAUACGUAGGGGGCAAGCGUUAUCCGGAUUUACUGGGUGUAAAGGGAGCGUAGACGGCAGCGCAAGUCUGGAGUGAAAUCCCAUGGCUUAACCAUGGAACUGCUUUGGAAACUGUGCAGCUAGAGUGCAGGAGAGGUAAGCGGAAUUCCUAGUGUAGCGGUGAAAUGCGUAGAGAUUAGGAGGAACACCAGUGGCGAAGGCGGCUUACUGGACUGUAACUGACGUUGAGGCUCGAAAGCGUGGGGAGCAAACAGGAUUAGAUACCCUGGUAGUC
rnacentral:rRNA from 1 species